AACGUAGGGGGCCAGCGUUGCUCGGAAUUACUGGGCGUAAAGGGUCCGUAGGCGGUGUGGCAAGUCGGAAGUGAAAUCUCUGGGCUUAACCCAGAGGCUGCUCCCGAAACUGCCGUGCUAGAGUGCGAGAGAGGCGAGUGGAAUUGCGGGUGUAGCGGUGAAAUGCGUAGAUAUCCGCAGGAACAUCCGAGGCGAAAGCGGCUCGCUGGAUCGCAACUGACGCUGAGGGACGAAAGCUAGGGGAGCAAACAGG
rnacentral:rRNA from 1 species